AUUGAACGCUGGCGGCAUGCCUUACACAUGCAAGUCGAACGGCAGCACGGGGGCAACCCUGGUGGCGAGUGGCGAACGGGUGAGUAACAUAUCGGAACAUACCCUAGAGUGGGGGAUAACGUAGCGAAAGUUACGCUAAUACCGCAUACGAUCUAAGGAUGAAAGUGGGGGGAUCUUCGGACCUUAUGCUCAUGGAGUGGCCGAUAUCUGAUUAGCUAGUUGGUGAGGUAAAGGCUCACCAAGGCGACGAUCAGUAGCUGGUUUGAGAGAACGACCAGCCACACUGGAACUGAGACACGGUCCAGACUCCUACGGGAGGCAGCAGUGGGGAAUUUUGGACAAUGGGGGCAACCCUGAUCCAGCAAUGCCGCGUGAGUGAAGAAGGCCUUCGGGUUGUUAAAGGACUC
rnacentral:rRNA from 1 species